rnacentral:lncRNA from 1 species
GGCACAUCCAGGCUGGAAGGGAAUUGUAAAUAUGAGCGAGAGGGAAGUACGGUCUAGCAGGUGUGCUCUUUCUGCGGGAAAGAGUAAGUGCUUGGCCACAGGACAGAGCGUGUCUGGGUGCUCAGUACCGUACAGCAGCAGCGUGAGACUGUGUACACUUACCGGCAUGCCGAUGCGUAGCGGACAUGAAGACCGCGUGAGGAAUUAGUUCCCUGUUUUCAGAGGUCUGAGUUCUGCUGACGAGACACACAAUAUCAUUAAGCAUUUUUAAUACUGGUACUGGAGAAAACUGGAUUCUACAAACAAUUUAAAUAUGAAAAAGAAAAAAAAAAGAAAUGAUGCAUCUUACCCUAUGGAAAUUAUUGAUCAAAAGAAGGCUUUAAUCUCAAAAUGCUUCACACAAGGCAGCACCAGUAAGCUUGAAGAGGCCAAUGGCAGAAAACACUUCGGAAAAGAGAAGUUCUUGGUGCUGAAAGAGUUGGCCAGAGCAUCAGCGCUUUAGCCAGCAUGCGUCGGGGUGAACAUGUUUUCUCUGCUGCUUUUGAACCAGGCUGAGACUAUGAUGACGCCUAUAACAGCGAGCAACUAGAGGCCGGCUCCUCUUCUACAGGAAACUCCUUUCAAGCCAGUACUGAUACUUGCAUGAGUAACAAGCGUGUGCGCUAAUAAAGACUGCAUGGCUAGCA